rnacentral:rRNA from 1 species
UACGUAGGGUGCAAGCGUUGUCCGGAAUUAUUGGGCGUAAAGAGCUCGUAGGCGGUCUGUCGCGUCUGCUGUGAAAAUCCAGGGCUCAACCCUGGACCUGCAGUGGGUACGGGCAGACUAGAGUGCGGUAGGGGAGAUCGGAAUUCCUGGUGUAGCGGUGAAAUGCGCAGAUAUCAGGAGGAACACCGGUGGCGAAGGCG